rnacentral:rRNA from 1 species
UACGGAGGGUGCGAGCGUUGUCCGGAUUUAUUGGGUUUAAAGGGUGCGUAGGUGGCUUGAUAAGUCAGUGGUGAAAUACAGCCGCUCAACGGUUGAGGUGCCAUUGAUACUGUCAAGCUUGAAAGAAUUGGAGGCUGCCGGAAUGGAUGGUGUAGCGGUGAAAUGCAUAGAUAUCAUCCAGAACACCGAUUGCGAAGGCAGGUGGCUACGAUUUAUUUGACACUGAGGCACGAAAGCAUGGGGAGCAAACGGG